rnacentral:rRNA from 1 species
GUAACACGCACUCAACCUGCCCUCGGGUCGAGAAUAAUCUCGGGAAACUGAGGCUAAUGAGCGAUAGGUCAAGAUUCCUGGAAUGGGUUUUGGUCUAAACGGCGUGACAGCAUCUUGUCGUGUCCGCCCGAGGAUGGGACUGCGGCCGAUCAGGCUGUUGGUGGGGUAAAGGCCCACCAAACCAGUAACCGGUACGGGCUUUGAGAGAAGGAGCCCGGAGAUGGACACUGAGACAAGGGUCCAGGUCCUACGGGGCGCAGCAGGCGCGAAACCUUCGCAAUGCGCGCAAGCGCGACGAGGUUAUUCCGAGUGAUUUCCGCUGAGGAAAUCUUUUCUUAGAUCUAAAAAGUCUGGGGAAUAAGGGGAGGGCAAGUCUGGUGUCAGCCGCCGCGGUAAUACCAGCUCCUCGAGUGGUCAGGGCGUUUAUUGGGCCUAAAGCAUCCGUAGCCUGCUCGGUAGGUCUCCUGUUAAAUCCAACGGCUCAACCGUUGGCCUGCAGGAGAUACCGCUGGGCU